ensembl:antisense
GGGUGCAGCGGCAUCAUUUUGGGCUUUGCCUGCUCUCACACCCUGCUGGAAUUUUCUUUUACCACACCAUCAUGGGUAGUGCCUACCACUGGGAGGCCCGGCGUCGGCAGAUGGCAUUGGAACGGAGGAAGGUGCUGAUGGCACAGCAGCAACAAGAGCAGAAUGCAAAAAAGCAGGAAGAGAAGAAACAGCAUUUUGAGAAAACAUCUCAGCCACACCAAGAUUCAAAAGGACCCCAACAGGAUUCAAAAGGACCCCAACAGGAUUCAAAAGGGCCACCGCCUGCACAGCCAGAGCAACAAGCACAGCCACAGGAGAAGGCACAAGGACAGCCACAGCCGCCUGGGCCAAAGUCACAAAAGGAGCAAGACCCACCUACACAGAGCAUCUUCAAGGAUGGUCUCCAAAAAGACACCCAAAGGCAAGGACCCCAGACUAAGCCAACCGGAGCUCAACAAGAUGGCCAGCAAUCCUGUAGAGUGUGCAGUAAACCCCCCAUCCUUCCAGGCCGCGUCAACUAAUUACAUCCAGCAGUGGUGAUCCAGAGACGGACUCCAAGACUUGAUGAAAGUGAAUAAAAACAAAACCCAAAAAUCAACCAAACAAAAAACCCAAGCACCACCAAACAAACAACAACAAAAAAAACCAAACCAGACAGCAACCACACUUUCUUUCCACCCAGCAAUCUUUCAAAUCCAAAAAGCCAGUUGCAUUUGGAAAGGAGGCUAGCUGGAAUUAAAAUGUAAUUCCUGGAA